UGAGCUCCUUCCUGUUCUCCGCCAUAGGCGAACUUCGGACUCCAUCGACGCACACUUUCAGCGUCACGACUCCUCAUCUUCCAUACAACACCAGUGAGUUCUGACAAAUGGAAAACCGCCACUUGCCAACGGAGGCGACGAUCAGAAGCAGUUCGUCUUCCGGAAACAGAGUCCCUAGCAAACUGACGGCAACGGAGACCAGCCAGCGGAGGCGACGGACUACCACCGCCGAACGGAGCCAUGGAAACUGGUGACGUUGCUUCGGGUGAGCGAUUCUCUCCUGAGGUUCUGGGCUUCAUGGAGCUUGCUAUGUAUAGAUCAGGUGAUGCCUGGCACAUCUGAAUUUAUGAAGUUGAUGUAAUAUGUGAGCUGGAUUUCGAAUUCGAUUCAGUUGGUGCUACAGUUGCGCGGGAACUUGAAGGAUGUGUCGUUGAAUUUGUUGGAGAGACACUGAAUCCGUGUUUCUUCUUAGGUUUUGUCUGUGGAUGCUUGGUAGGGAAUUCAUUGGUAAUCGACCUUAGACGCUGCAAAAUCAAUGACAAUAUCUAGAAGGUAUAGCAUUUCUUCAGAGAGAGAGAGAAAGAGAGAGAGAUUUGGGGGUGGAUUUGUUGUUGUUCUGAAGUGAUACCCGCACAUUAUCCACUCCUAGCAAUUGUUGAUCUUUUUUAUGUUUCUGGCUUAGAUAUAAUUUUU